rnacentral:rRNA from 1 species
GAUGAACGCUGGCGGCGUGCCUAAUACAUGCGAGUCGAGCGAACAGACGAGGAGCUUGCUCCUCUGACGUUAGCGGCGGACGGGUGAGUAACACGUGGAUAACCUACCUAUAAGACUGGGAUAACUUCGGGAAACCGGAGCUAAUACCGGAUAAUAUAUUGAACCGCAUGGUUCAAUAGUGAAAGACGGUUUUGCUGUCACUUAUAGAUGGAUCCGCGCCGCAUUAGCUAGUUGGUAAGGUAACGGCUUACCAAGGCAACGAUGCGUAGCCGACCUGAGAGGGUGAUCGGCCACCCUGGAACUGAGACACGGUCCAGACCCCUACGGGAGGCAGCAGUAGGGAAUCUUCCGCAAUGGGCGAAAGCCUGACGGAGCAACGCCGCGUGAGUGAUGAAGGUCUUCGGAUCGUAAAACUCUGUUAUUAGGGAAGAACAAAUGUGUAAGUAACUAUGCACGUCUUGACGGUACCUAAUCAGAAAGCCACGGCUAACUACGUG